UGAUUUCAGUUUGAACGAAGGAAUUUCUUUACGCUAUUUCCGAUUUCUUAAAAGGAUUACUUCUGCCGGACCGAUUUCUUCAAAACUUUUCACCAGUGCGCUUAUUUUGAUGAAUUUUCGAGAGGAUGCAACGCAACAAGAAGAAAGUACAAUCAAGACUGUUGGUGCGAUGACAGCACCCCUAAACGCUGGUAUGCACUUAUUCGCAGCCACUGGUUCAAACGGGAAGACACGGCGUUUCGGUUUGUUUUUGACCCGGCUCCUCGGAUUGAUACUCACGCGGACAGGGCUCCGUUUGAAAGGAACAACAGUUUAUUUAUAACCGAGCUUAUCGAGCGUGGCCAUAUUGUCUUAAGGCGCCCUCCGGUAUUUGGUAUUUUCAAAUCCACUAGCGGAUCUGGGUUCUUGAGUCCAGACUUUCUACUGGAAAUGAUGUUACUUACACUGGCCUUUUGCGCUGUAAGAUUACCCUGAGCUCGUACACCAAUCUUUCCAAUAUAUAUAUAUAUAUAUAUAUAUAUAUAUAUAUAUAUAUAUAUAUAUAUAUAUAUA